UGAGUACCGGUACGGCAUUGCGCGGGUACCAGUACUCUGUAUUAAAUCUAGCUGCGCAGCUCGCGGGUUUUAGCUGUUUAGAGGCCGAGUAUCGGUACUUCAACCUGAGUACCGAUACUCAGUGUAGCAGAAUGAGUUGGUAAGAAAUUUUUUUGAUAAUUUCACAGUGAUGGUUAUCCUCUUAAAGCCCUAAAUUUACCCCAGCUGGUCUUUCUUGUACUAGAGCUUGGAGAAAACAGGCUGAUUUGGAGGAUCUUUGAGGAGCUGUAGAAGUAAGGAAGAGAGGGUUUUGAGAGUAGAUCUUCAAUCCUAACUCAGGAAGUAACUGAGUUAGAGCUUUGAAAGGUUGGAAUUUCAGUACUCAACCUGAGGUGAAGUGUAGAUUAAGCUUUGCUCUAUACAAGGGUGCUUAGAGACUUGGGAGCAUCAUCGCUUGAGUGAUCGGAUAGGAGUUGACAAGUACUCG